ACAGAGAUAGGUGGUCAGAGGACUUCUUCCAUUGACCUAGCUACUGCCUCUAGGGGAGGUGGAUUACUGAUACCGAUGGCAGAACCCCUCCCAUCA